AAAUGUGGGCAUAAUUAGGUGUAUUGACAUGCCUUUGAUACAUCAAAUUAAGGAGGAAACCCCACUAAAUCCAGUCAAGCAGUUUCGUAAGAUCUUCACAAAAUGUCUCUACUUAUGGAAUCGUGGAGUUUAGUUCUGCUGAAGUGUAUACCGUUAGCACUUUGGUUUAUCAAUAUUUGAUUAGCUGAAAUGAUGGAUAGAAGGAUAGCCUGGUUAUAGACAGUAGGCAGAAGGAGGUGGAGGGGUUAUAGUAAUAUAAGAUCAAGAAUUACAAGCCCGGUACCACCAGGUACUACAUUAUAUAAGGAACAAGGUUCUAAUGUUUCCUUAACAGCAAACCAGUCCAGUUACGGUGGCCCAGCCAGCCAGCAGCUGAGUGGUGAUUAUGGAGGCGGAUGUGGUGGCCAGAGCAGCAUGAGUGGAUACGGUAACCAAGGAGCAAUGAACAGCAGCUACUACAGUAGUGGAAGCCGUGCAUCUAUGGACGUGAAUGGAAUGGGAGGGAUGUCUAGUAUGUCCAGUAUGAGUGGUGGAUGGGGAAUGUAAUUGCUCGAUCCUGAUCACUGACUCUUGGUCAACUUUUUUUUUAAAAGAAAAAAAAACUUCAGUUUAACAGUUUCUGCAAUACAAGCUUGUGAUUUAUGCUUACUCUCUAAGUGGAAAUCAGGAUUGUUAUGAGGACUUAAGGCCCAGUAGUUUUGAAUUUUUGAUCCUACUAUCUAGGAUGUAACAGUAAAGCUGAGUAAACUAUAACUGUUAAACUUAAGUUCCAGCUUUUCUCAAGUUAGUUAUAGGAUAUACUUAAGCAGUAAGCAUAUUUAGGUAAAAUCAGUUGAAUUAUGUUAAAUGUUGCCCUUUGUCACGUUACAUUGAACACUGGAUGCAUGUUGAAAGACAUGCGUUUAUUUUUUUGUAAAACUCAAUAUAGGAGCUGUGCCUACAAUUAAAAGUGAAACAUUUUGGCAUGUUUGUUCUAGUUUCAUUUAGUAACCUGUGAGGCACAUAAGUUUAAGCUUUUUUUUUUUUUUUAAGUUAAUGGGAAAAAGUUGAGAUGCAAUACCAAUACUUUAGGAUUUUGGUCUUGGUGUUUGUAUGAAAUUCUAAGGCCUCGAUGUAAAUCUUCCAUUACAGUGUGAUUUCCUUUUAGGUAUAUUGCGCUAAGUGAAACUUGUCAAAUAAAUCCUUUUAAAAACUG